rnacentral:rRNA from 1 species
GACGUAGGAGGCGAGCGUUGUCCGGAUUCAUUGGGCGUAAAGAGCCCGUAGGCGGUUUGGCAAGUCGGGUGUGAAAACUCCGGCUCAACUCGGAGACGCCACUCGAUACUGCCAUGACUCGAGUCCGGUAGGGGAGUGCGGAAUUCCUGGUGUAGCGGUGAAAUGCGCAGAUAUCAGGAGGAACACCGGUGGCGAAGGCGGCACUCUGGGCCGGUACUGACGUCAUGCACGAAAGCGUGGGGAGCAAACAGG